UCUGUUCCUUGUGUGCAGCCGCCGCGGUAAUACGUAGGUGGCGAGCGUUAUCCGGAAUGAUUGGGCGUAAAGGGUGCGUAGGUGGCAGAUCAAGUCUGGAGUAAAAGGUAUGGGCUCAACCCGUACUGGCUCUGGAAACUGAUCAGCUAGAGAACAGAAGAGGACGGCGGAACUCCAUGUGUAGCGGUAAAAUGCGUAGAUAUAUGGAAGAACACCGGUGGCGAAGGCGGCCGUCUGGUCUGGAUUCUGACACUGAAGCACGAAAGCGUGGGGAGCAAAUAGG
rnacentral:rRNA from 1 species